UAGAAUAUAAUAACCCCUUCCACCGAGCUCCGCCUCAGAAAUUGGCUGGGUCUUCUGACGUGGCGAUUUGGGGAAGAGUCUUGCUUCCGAAGGUUAUCCUUUUAAUUAUUUUUGAACGAGUAAUGUGCAAGUAAGUGCUAAAUAAUCGCGUCUGCACUUCAUACGUCCCAGAGGAAACUUGCAAGCAAUCCAAACGAGAUACAGAAGAGGAAACUGACGCGAAAGCAGUUCCAAUAACCUUGAAGUAUUGCGAAGGAGCAGAAUCGACUGUUAUCUGAAUUGUAAUUACUUCCAGAGAAGAUACCAGUUUAUUGCUAGAGCAUUACUAGAGAAACCAUCCAUUUCAAUAUUGAAUUUUAAUACAAGAGCAGAAGAGUUGUCAAGAAGCAGUUGAAAGUUCUUACCAAAGAAGGAACAUCAUGCUUUUGCACUUGUGUACAAAUGGAAUACCUAGAAGAAGGAAGAAGAAGAAAAAACAUUUGUUUUUUUCCGAAGAAGUUUUGAAAGACCAAUAUGGAACUGUUUUAUAAAGUUUGGAACUGUGGUACGUGGAAAUGGGAGGGAUUUGGCUUUUUCAAAAGAACCACUCGUGAGCGGCUUUAGCUGGAGAGUAUAGACGAUUAUGCUCAGAAGGAUUUGUAGAGGGUUCGUCAGAAGUUCCAAGAGGGGCAAGGGUCAAAGGAGAAUUAAAAUGAAACUGAGGGAGGUAUACAAAACAAUUUAACAUGCAGGGAGGAUGAGAAGGUUCAUCUUUUUUGAAAGUAAUAACGUUAAUAGGGGAAUACUUUUAAGCUAUAUGGGAAAUGGAAAGUCCAUAUUCACGUCAUCGUUAUUCCAUCGAUUUAAAUUAAGUAAUCGUUGGAUAUAAUUCAGAAAGGAGAAAUGCUGAAUUGUUUGUCGUAAUAUUCACGACAUCUAGUUGAAAAAUAUUCGUAAUAUUUAAUUAGCGAUUUUCAUUAUUAUUGAAAUUUGGACGAAGUAAUUUGGUGCGUAGCGCGAAUUAUCUGCUAUUAAUUCCUACUCCUGUACUUAUUUAGCCAAGUACUUUCGUUUUAACUCCACCGUUAUUCUCUCUUUCUGCGUGUGCUCUGGUGCGCGCCCAUCUGCGCCAGUCGAGGGGCCGGGAUUGAGUACGUGAUCUUGUGUGCGUGUAUGCAUACAACUCCUGUCUUCUCUUGAUAAUAAAGAAAAUAUGUUUUCAUUUGUUUUCCUAUCAUCAGGUGAAGCAGAUAAUUGGAGAUUAGCUCUAUAGUUCAAUUGUCUAUUUAGAUUCAUUGUUUGAUAACUAUUACUUAUUUUGCAGAGCAUUGGACUAUUUUUUUAGGAACCAAUUGAUUUGGAACAUAUUAUAUGAAAUAUUCGAUAACUGGAGGUAUAAUGGGAUUAUUGUUUUGCAUUCUCCAAUAGGGAGUAAAUUUCUAGGAAAAUGUAACCGUUCAUAGAGAAGAGUCAAAUCAGUCGUGGUAGAUGGAUCUGCAAAAGAAUUAACCAGGUAAUUAAAUGAUACAGCUAAAUAGAUAAUUGAAUUAUACCGCUAAUAGUAUUAUCGAAUUCUCUGGCUGGUUUGAUGAGAUGAAAAACUAAUGAAAAGAUACCUUUCUUAUUUUGAAAAUAAGAGAGGAGAAGUACGCAGACACGCCCACUUGAACUCGCUCACGUAAAUGCGCACGUGCACGAGGAGAGGUAAUUACUCGUUUAAUAUGAUGGUGCUGGACGAUAGGUAGGAGAAAAGGCGUACGUGCAGAUCGUUAAAUCCCCGAUCAAUACCCGGUAAUAGGGGAAUUUGCAGACAUGGGGGAUCAUAUGUUUUUGCAAAGAAAUCAUAAUUUUGUUCAUUAUAAUUUUCUACGAUGUCUAUGAUAAAUGUUGAAUGAAUUCUCUUUCCACAUUAUCAUCCCUCACAUUAUGUAUGACAAUUCUCCGUUUUUUUAUUGGAUGUCAUCACUAUACUCUUAUCGUUUUCUUACCCGAAUAAUAUUUAUUUUUUCUAACGUAUCUGUAUAAAUGUCUCUCUGGAAUUCCUCUUUGGUAUUACUUAUGACACGAAACUCACUAUUGUUUGGAUAUUUUGGCAUUCUCUUAAUGAAAAAGAAAUAAGUAAUUGAAAGUGCUGGUAGUCUCAAAUUGUAUGUUACGAAAUCGCGAAACGAUAUAUACCAAAAGAAUAUUACGAUUCUGAUUUUCUGACUUAUUAAUCUUGAGAACUACCUAUUUCACUAAAAGUUUCAAUACGAAGCGAGUUCAGCUUCGAAAAUAUCUCCUCAGUUUUAUGAUUACUUGUUUACUCCAUCAAAUAUUACUGCAUCGUACGAGGCGUACUUGCGUAGCAUUGCAGACAAGUCCUUAUCAUUCUCUUUAAGUGGUUCAGAGAAACUCUCAGAUCGUUGUGAGUGUACUUCUUUUCCGUAAAAUCGAUUGAUAUUCUUUUCAUAUAACUUGGUAAUUUGACCUUUUCUUGAUUAACUAACUGAUGGAUCUCUCGGAGGGGAAAUACGGAAAAGAGAAGAAGGUAAUAUUAGGAAACUAUAAAUGUGAUGAAAGAUUUUCUCCGAAUACGUUGUAUAGAUAUAAGUAGUGAAGAGGAAUUCCAGAAAGACAUUUAUAUAGAUACGUUAGAAAAAAUAAAUAUUAAUCCGUAACAAAAUGAUAGAAGUGAUAGUUAUAUCAUCUAGCAAGAAAACGAAGAGCUCAUUGAUGAAAGAGAUAAAAAUGUUAUAGAAGAAUAGCUUCAAACUAAUCAUAGAUUUCAUAAAAAAUAAUGAUAUAAAAUUUUUGUCAUUUUGUAAAAAAAUAUAUCCUUCAAUAUCUACGAAUUCACAUAAACCAAGCAUCCUUAUCAUACAUUAUGUGGUUUUAAAAUAUAUACUCUGAUGUGAGUCGUUUGACUACGUCUGCGCGAUAAAGUUCCACUGAUUUGUUCGAAGCUAACGUCCGAAAGAGCUCAGGGCAGAUAUGGUUAUUACGUUUUACGCACAUUAAUUGCUUACACGGACGGAAAGGUCAAAAAUGAAAUUUAUUAAGGGGAAAUGAACUUCUGUUUUAUUAAUGAACAAUAUUUUUUAAUUCGACAUAUUACUUUUUCCUUUUCUUUUCUUUUUUUUUCUUCAUUUCCUUACAGUUUAUAAUCUGAAAUUGACUAAAGAAUGUUGACGAUUAACAAUUAAUUUUUUUCAUAUUUGUAUGCUUAAAAAUGACUAUCAGUAAAAAUUAAUUUCUCCCUUUUUUUAUCUCUUGAAAUUAUCAUUUCUUUUCUUGUAUUACGCAAUGAUAAGGAAUAUGGAUUAAAAAAAAAUCUUUCGCCAUAUGUAUUUUUUUUUUUUUUCUUUAUAUCAUCUUUUUCUCUUUUACGUAUUUCAUUUGAAUGCCCUUUAUGCAGAUCAAUUAAAAUUUCCUGUUUCGCAACCGAAAAGUGUAUGAGUUUGGAGGAAAUGAAUUUCUCGACCAAUCUUGAUCAAUUUUUUAUUUAUCAUUAUGCAACUAAUCGAUCGACAUGUUUCAAAGCAUAAGUUAUAAGUGUUCUAGGAAGAUAGCUUUCCAUGAAGAUACCUUUCCUUGUGAAUAGAAUCUACUUUCUUUGUAAUGUCAAUGUUCUCUUCGGAAAAGAUAAAUAAAUGUGAAUGAGUACUAAAAAAAGUCACUCCCCCAAAAGGGGAUAAACAAAAUUAGAUUUUUACAAAGUAAAAUAAUCGAGAGGAUGUAUAUAUGGAGAAUAAUCGAUAGAAGGAAUCAAAAGCAGAAAAGGAACCAAAAAGAAAGAGCGAGGAUAAAAAUGAAAAAAAAUAUCAUCUACGGUAGUGUCGAUUUAAAAUUAUUGGUAACGUUGUGACGAGAUUACCGUGGAUGACAAUAUCUCGUUAAUAUAUGAAAAAUAGUGGGAAAUAAGUGGUAGAAUAAGCUCGAUAGGAUACUUGAAUUUAUUGUAUCCUUUGAAAGGGAGUAAAAUUUGUUUAUUCAGUCGUCAUUUAAGUAAAUCCUAAAGAGAUCGAGAAAAUAUAGGCUUAGAAUAGUAUAUCAGCAAUUAAUGAAUUACGAUAAUGAAUUCUAUAUCACCUAUAUCGUUUUAAACAACAUAUACUCGAUAAGAUAAAACAUACUUGAAUUUUUUGUUUCUCACAAUUUAUUAUUUUGUUGAUUGCUUUUAUGCAAUCCUUUAUGACCGAAUUGUUAAUAGAGGGUCGUAAAACCAUUUUCGACAGACCUUCGUUACAAUUCUAUGGCAACUUGAAAAAAUUGGGAGAAUGUAGUUGUAAUUGUUCCUCUGCCUGAUGUGUUAAUGAAUGCAAUCUUGAUUGUUCUUUUCACACGGCAGAUGGAUUCUAUACAUAUAUAUACAAAUACAUUCAUAUAUAUAUAUAUAUAUAUAUAUAUAUAUAUAUAUAUAUACAUAUGUAUCUUACUAUAUACUAGAAUCUAAUACAUUUAUAUACAUAUUUAUUCACACAUUUGUCUACACGUUGAUAAAGUAUUUAUAUCUAUCUGAACAUCUCUAAGCAUAUGCAUGAAAAUAAAAUUAAAGAGAAACUAAAACAAUAAGUUGAAAUAAUAAAAGAGAUGUCAUUAAGAUAGAAGCAAAGAGAUAUGUAUCGCGAAGGUAUACCAAAUAAUACCCACCCCAUACUUUCAUAUAUCUGCGCAAGACAGAUAAAUGUAAACACGACUACUGAUAAAUAUUUGCUUUUCCUUUAAUUAAAAAAAAAAUGUUAUUUAACUUAUUAUUUACGAGAGAGUCAAAAAAUCCCUUCGUAAAUAAUACUAUGGAAAAAUGAUAUAUUAAAUAAGUAAAUGAAAAUAAUGCUUUAAGAAAACAUAAAUAAGUGAAAAAAAAAUUGAAAUUAAAAGGAAUAAUAUUAAAGAAAAAAGCAAGCAAAUAUGUAUUCGGGGAGUAUUGAAGAUAAAAAAAUAUUUAAGAAAUGGGACGCUUUUUUAUAAUAUUAACUCUGCCCUUACUUUUUCCCGUUUAUACAAACUAAGAAUAAACAUAAAAUUGUGUACCAGAAUUACUUCAAAACUAAUCAUGGAUAUCGUAGAAAAUUAUAGAAUAGGAUUUUGAUUUCUUUGCAAGAAAUUUGUUCAUCGAUGUAUAUAAUUUCAUAUACAUGAAAUACCACUGUAUAAUAUGUUAUAAUAUAUACCACGUUUGGGCGACAAAAUGCCGCCGUGUUUCUGCUAAUUUACGUUCGAAAAGUCGCCGUGUGUAAAUGGUAAAUAUGGAAAAAUAUCAAAAUAUAUGUCAUUCGGUGCUUUUCAUCCGUCUACUGCAAGAAAAAAGAAUUUGUAUCAUUCUCUUUACUCUUCGAUGAAUUGAAUAUUAUUAUUACUAUAGUAACGAUUAUAGCAUCUCAACUUAUUAUCUACUUAGAAAUAAUAUAUAAUCGACAGAUGAAUUGUUUUCAUGAUCGUAAUAUUUAAACGAUAUUAUAUUCGCUUAAAUAUUACGAAUAUCGAAACGCGUGACGAACAUAUGAUAAUUUUAAACUAAAAUUUCAAUAAUUUAUAAUAUUGGUCUUGGAAUGAUUGCAUCUAAGUUGCGUCGUUGCGUGUAAUGCCAACAAAAAUGAAUUUUCGAUCCACUUUGACGAUUAACCUCUUUUUCUAAAUGUAAAAACUUCAAACUAAAUACUUUUGAUAAUUUUAAAUUCAUUUAAAGGAUGUAGAUGUACGAGAAGUUAAAUAUUACACGCCGCGGAACACAGAUGGGAUAUUAGAUAAUUUUAAUUUAUUUUCUAUUAGACUUAAAUUUUGAAAUGGCGGUCGUUGGUAACGUUUAAAGUCAACAAAUGAUUGAUUUGGAGGGUUACUGGAGCAGUUCUCCUUUGCACUCCGACGAAUAAACAUCGAAACUCUCUCACUGCUGCCUGCAAAGAAUGAAGAAAAUUACUCAUAAGAAAUAUUCAUAAGAAAUAUAGAUUCAUAAGUGUACAUAAGAAAAAAUAUUAUAUAAGUUUUUCUCUAAGGUAAUUAUAAACAAUGUAAUGAAUCAGCGAAAAUAGUAGUAUCUCUCUCUAUGAAUAAACGUAAUUAAACAAAAA